GGGUCAGUAGGUUGGUCGUGCCACCGGUACGUACUGGUCUCACUGAUUCCUCCUUCCUUAAGAGCCGUAAUGCCAUUAAUUUGGUGUUGCGGGGAAACAGGACUGUUACUUUGAAAAAAUUAGAGUGUUUAAAGCAAGCUAACGCUUGAAUAAAUUAGCAUGGAAUAAUGAAAUAGGACGAUCGAUCCUAUUUUGUUGGUUUCUAGGAUUGACGUA
rnacentral:rRNA from 1 species